AAUAGCGUAUAUUAAAGUUGUUGCGGUUAAAAAGCUCGUAGUUGGAUCUCAGUCGUGCUCCCGUCGACGCGUUGCAAGACGUGCUUCGUCGGGGCCGGCAAACGGUCGGUCGGUUCGGUUGGCCUUCAAAAGCUGAUCGGGUUGGCCGACGCCUUUACUUUGAAAAAAUUAGAGUGCUCAAAGCAGGCCGGGGCCUGGAUACUGGUGCAUGGAAUAAUGGAAUAGGACCUCGGUUCUAUUUUGUUGGUUUUUGGAACGCGAGGUAAUGAUUAAGAGGGACGGACGGGGGCCUUCCUAUUGCGGCGCUAGAGGUGAAAUUCUUGGACCGCUGCAAGACGAACUACUGCGAAAGCAUUUGCCAAGAAUGUUU
rnacentral:rRNA from 1 species